CCCACAUAAAUCAUAUUUUGAUGUAUGCUUAUAUAAACUUUGAGUAUAAUAACUUAUCUCUAGGUAUUUCAGGUGUUUUUAUGAUUUAAAGAUAUAGAUAUAAAUAUUACUUAACUUUGUAGUUUUCCACUAUCAUAUAAUUAUUUCUUUCAUUUUACACAUAACCAAUUAGAAGAACCACAAAGCCAACAUCUAUGAAAGGCUAUAUUUUUUGACAUCUAUAGCUGUCCUUUGAUUUAAAUUUCUUUCUUCUGACCAGGAAUCCUUUUCCUACCACCAUACUUGUGGGUGAAAAUUUUCUAGUCAUCUUUUAAAGGCUGCAAAGAAAGAUGUUAAGGCCUCCUACUGUGGCUGUUCUUUCCCCUUUGCAGACGUAGGAUGGAGAAAGAUAAAUUCCUUGAGUCACUGAAGCUCAGAGAACUGUUAAAACCGUUGGAAUGUGGAACCAACUGCCCCAUCUUCGUAAUCUCCCCUUUCUAAAGGGAAUAGAUUUCUCGCACAGUUUCCAGAGUUUGUUCCAUCUGGGGAUGACAGAAAAGCACAAAACCACCGUGGCUUUCUCAGAGUUGUGGUUUACUACUGCAUUCUUCUGCCAAAUGAUUGAAAAAUCCCACCCAGCAUCCAUGGAAGCUUCAGAAGCCAAUAGAGGUCAUCUACAUUUCAGUUACUGGGAUUCCUACAUAAUUUAUUAUAUAUUAUAUAUACAUAUGUAUAUAUAUAUGAACACACAUAUAUAAAACAUGA
rnacentral:lncRNA from 1 species